UGAUACUGAGUUUGAUCCUGAUGGGGAGAUAGUUGAUAUGGAAGAUGAGUAUGAUCUUCCCGACUUCUCAUAUGAUGUUGAUGAUCCUUGUAUUGAUGUAAAUGUGGUGUUCCCAGAUGUGGAUCAGUGCAAGUCAGCAGUUACACACCAUGCUAUCUUGAAUGACCAUGCUUUCGAAAUAGUGAAAAAAGACAAGAAACGUUUUAGAGCCAAAUGCAAGAGAGCUGAUAGGGGUUUCAAAUGGACUUUUUUUUGCAUCUACAAGCAAGAAAUACAUUGGAUGCAAGGUUAAGACCAGUGGACCAAAGCACACUUGUGGUUCUUUCAACAAGUGUGGUGAUACAAUGGCUAAUAACAAAUGGGUAGCUGAUCGAGUUGUCAAUUUGUUGCGGGAUGACCCUGAAAUAGGAACAAAGGAGUUACAG